GCCCUCCUCCCCUUCGUGCGCCGGCUGGAGCGAAGAGUUCUUUUGACAGCCGUGAGCUUCCCCGCCAGGAACUUACUGGGGCUGCAUCACCCUAGAAACGUGGCUUUGGGCUGUGGAAACGCUGCCUCUGUGGAAGUCUCUCCUCGCGGGGGUGGACGGGUCGCUGCGCGCCCAGCGUUCUUCUGCGGUUCUCACAGCCCGCCGCCGCCGCCGCCUCGGGGACCUUUGCGGGGAGGCCUCAGGGCACCUUCCUCCUCUCUCUCAGGCACGUCCUCGACCUCAGUUGCCACGUGCACAUGCUGGUGCCUUCCAGGCUGGAGUAUAGUGGCAUGAUCAUAGAUCACUGCAGCCUCAAACUCCUGGGCUCAAGCGAUCCUCCCACCUCAGCCUCCAUAUAGCUGGUGGGGACCAAGUUUCUAACACAUGAAUGUUGGGAGACACAUUCAGACCAUCGCAGUGGCCUUAUAAAAAGAGACACAAGAGCUUGCUCUCUGCCAUGUGAGAAUACCACAAGAAGACUGUCCUCAGCAAAUCAGAAAGCGGGUGGACCCUCAUCAGACACCAGAUGUGCCUGCACCUUGAUCUUGGACUUGCCAGCCUUCAGAACAGUAAGAAAGAAAUGUGUGUUGUUUAAGCCACCCAGUCUAUGGUAACUUGCUAUAGCAGCCCACUAGGAGACCCCAAGAUAUUUAAAAACUCAUCAGCACCUGCUUUCUGCAUCUGGACCCUGAUCUUCUGGUGGGUUUACCAGUUACUUGUAGAGUGUCCCUGUGAUAGUUUUAGGUGUCAACUUGACAGGAUUGAGGGAUGCCUAGAUGGCUGGGGAAGCACUGUUUCUGAGAAGGACCAUGUUUUUGGAGGAGACUGUUUUAUGAGUGAAUUUCAGGGGACACAUUCAGAUCAUGGCAGUGGCAUUAUAAAGAGAGACACAAAAGCUUGCUCUCUCUCUCUGCCAUGUAAGACUACCACACAAAGACUGCCAUCUGCAAACCAGAAGCAGGUGGGCUUUCCUCAGACACCAGAUCUGCCUGCACCUUGAUCUUGGACUUGCCAGCCUUCAGAACUCUAAGAAAGAAAUGGUAGCAUGGCUUGGUCUAAGUUGGAAGGCCUGAGAAACAAGCACAUGGUGGAACUGAGUUCAAGGAUAAAGACUUGAGAAUACCUGCUCAGUGGACUGAGUAGGGAAGAUCAACCCUCAAUGUAGGCAGGCACUAUCCAAUCACCUGAGGGCCCAGAUGGAACAAAAAGGUGGAAGAAGGGUGAAUUCUCUCUUCCAGAGCUGUGACACCCUUCUCAUGCCCUUGUACCACACAACUCUAGGUCCUUUGGCCUUUGGACUCUGACACUUGCACCAGUGGCCCUCUGGGGCUCUCAAGCCUUUAGCCUUGAACUUAGUUACACCAUGUGCCUCCUUGUUUCUCAGGCCUUCCAACUUGGAUCAGGCCAUGCCACCGGCUUCUCUGAUUCUCCAGCUUGCAGAUGGUAUAUUGUGACCCUGGCAUUUAAUAACUAUGACUUUGGUCUUAAGCAAUUUUCUUCCUCUGUGGAUUGAUAUUUACAUAUCAAUGUGGAUAAUAAUUUCUUACCACGGUAACUGUUGUGAGGUAAAAAUGAGUUAACAUAAGUAAAACCGAGCACAUGCAAACCA
rnacentral:lncRNA from 1 species